GCAUGGCUGAAUUCUGUAUUACUCUUGGAAUAGUACAUGCAGUCAGACACCAUGCUAAAUUAUUAUUUUCACACACUGACUUGACAGGAUAAGCGCCACUGAUGUGCCUCAUUCUCAUGUCAGAGUGAAUACAGGG